UACGAGGGGGGCAAGCGUUGUUCGGAGUUACUGGGCGUAAAGGGUGUGUAGGCGGUUGUUUAAGUUUGGUGUGAAAUCUCCCGGCUCAACUGGGAGGGUGCGCCGAAUACUGAAUGACUAGAGUGCGGGAGAGGUGAGUGGAAUUCCUGGUGUAGCGGUGAAAUGCGUAGAUAUCAGGAGGAACACCGGUGGUGUAGACGGCUCACUGGACCGUAACUGACGCUGAUGCACGAAAGCGUGGGGAGCAAACAGG
rnacentral:rRNA from 1 species